rfam:Macaca fascicularis chromosome 2, whole genome shotgun sequence.
UGGAUCAAAGCCAGUUGAUUAGGGUAUUUAGCUGUUCACUAAAUUUUUGUGGGUUCGAGUCCCGUUGAUCUAG